rnacentral:rRNA from 1 species
UCGAGGAUCUUCGGCAAUGGGCGCAAGCCUGACCGAGCGACGCCGCGUGUGCGAUGAAGGCCUUCGGGUUGUAAAGCACUGUCGGGGGGGAGAAAAGGGUAAAACUUUGAUCUAUCCCCGGAGGAAGCACGGGCUAAGUUCGUGCCAGCAGCCGCGGUAAGACGAACCGUGCGAACGUUGUUCGGAAUCACUGGGCUUAAAGGGCGCGUAGGCGGGCCUUCAAGUCCGGGGUGAAAUCCUCCAGCCUAACUGGAGAAGAGCCUCGGAGACUGAGGGCCUCGAGGGAGGUAGGGGCGUGCGGAACUAUGGGUGGAGCGGUGAAAUGCAUUGAUAUCCAUAGGAACUCCGGUGGCGAAGGCGGCACGCUGGACCUCUUCUGACGCUGAGGCGCGAAAGCCAGGGGAGCAAACG